AUGAUGAUGUCACUGACUCUACUGCUGGCCACCCUGGGGCUCCUUGUUCAGGGUUCAUCAGGACAAAUAAUCCUGACUCAGUCUCCUGGAUCUCAGUCUGUUCUUCCAGGACAGUCUGUCAACAUUAAAUGUAAAAUGUCAUCAAAUGUUUAUAGCUCCAACCGUUUACACUGGUACCAACAGAGAGAUGGAGGAGUUCCUAAACUUCUCAUUUAUUAUGCUAGCAAUAGAGCAUCAGAGAUUCCAGAUCGUUUUUCAGGCAGUGGAUCAAACUCUGACUUCACUCUGACCAUAAGUGGAGUCCAGACUGAAGAUGCAGCAGUUUAUUACUGUCAGAGUUUUCACUGGAUCAACAGUCAGGAUGUGUUCACACAGUGAAAAAGUGUCGUACAAAAACCUCCCUCAGUCAGACUGAACAGAAACU